rnacentral:rRNA from 1 species
GACGAACGCUGGCGGCGUGCUUAACACAUGCAAGUCGAACGGAAAGGCCCCUUUGGGGGUACUCGAGUGGCGAACGGGUGAGUAACACGUGAGUAACCUGCCCUUGACUUCGGGAUAACUUCAGGAAACUGGGGCUAAUACCGGAUAGGAAUCCUUGCUGCAUGGUGGGGGUUGGAAAGCUUCGGCGGUUUUGGAUGGACUCGCGGCUUAUCAGCUUGUUGGUGGGGGAGUGGCUUACCAAGGCUUUGACGGGUAGCCGGCCUGAGAGGGCGACCGGCCACAUUGGGACUGAGAUACGGCCCAGACUCCUACGGGAGGCAGCAGUGGGGAAUAUUGCACAAUGGGCGGAAGCCUGAUGCAGCAACGCCGCGUGCGGGAUGACGGCCUUCGGGUUGUAAACCGCUUUCAGCAGGGGCGAAGCUUGUGGUGACGGUACCUGCAGAAGAAGCACCGGCUAACUACGUG